UAAACCCGGAAAUCGAGCACGCUUUUGCUGCACAGUCGAUAGGGCGCCGGACCUCGGGCUCGAAAGUCGUGGGUUCGAGACCUGCUCCCUGCUGUUUCAUUACAGUCUGUUUAUCUCUCGGAUCCGCGCUCAGUGUAGCCUUUUUGGUUACCCAAAUUCGAAUCCAGAAUGUUUAGUCCAUAGCUUCGUCCAUGUUCCAGUAGGUGGCGGUCUUUUUCGUCGUCGAUGUGGUUGCUAUGACGAAGAGAAGCGUUACAGAACAUUCCGGAGUAACUUUUAUGUUAUGCAGCUAGACUACAGAUACAUUUGCAAGGUUGCAAGUCGUAUUUAUAUUUCAAAAGUUAGAAUGACUUAUUAUACUCCAAGUUCAGCUUUGGAAUCAAUUUAUUACGACGUAUUGGUGUAAAAACAUAAUGAAUGUACUGCCAAACCAUCUUGUCAAGUCACUGAAGGAAGAUUUCAAGAAAUUGGAUUACAGCAAGUGGGAGAGAUGCAACAGGAGCAAGACAGAGCCCCCUCCCUGGGUGAUUCUGCCCCCACUGCACAACAAGACUACUGGCUCACCAAGCGAGCGUUAUCCAGCGACAGGGAGAGAGGAGAGUGGGACCUCCUCUGCCACCCAUAACUUUUUUCCAACAACUGACAAGCCAGGGAAGUCUCACCCCAACACUGGUCAUGAAGAGUCCACUGCGUCAUCUAUGGGACGACUCUCUCGACGGAGGAGGAACGAAAGAGUGAAGCUGGACCCCAUCACUUUGAAGAAACAAGAAAAUAUCAAAACACUGAACUUGCUGAUUAUGUCGAGGAAGAAGACCCUAGUGGAGCUGGAGAAGCACUGUGCAUUGCUGCAGGAGAGCAACGUCCGUAUGGCCGGGGAGAUAGACAGCACAGACAGACAGUCAGUGUCCAGUGCCAGGGAAUUCCUCAUCAGGCAUGACAAAUUAGGGAGUUCUAUAGCUGCAUUCAACAGCUGGAGCCACAGUCAGAUGGAGCAGGCCAAGACAGAGCUCCAGGAGGCUGAGACUGCUGCAAAGAACAAACUUUCGGGUCUCCAUGAGCAGCUGAGGGGGGUGAAGGCAGAGCUGGUGAACGCCCAGGCGGAGCUCCACACCCUGAAGACCUACAAGGAUAAAGAGUACCCCGUCAAGGCCCUGCGCAUUGCAGAGAUAAAGAGAGAGAUUGAGAAACUCAAAGAGACACAGCAGGAUGAGAAUGAGGACGUGAACUUGCUGUGCCAGACAGAGAUAGUGUACCUGGAGAGACGAUCCCAACACGAAGAGCAGGAAGUCCUCUCUGUCAUAGCUAAGCUAAAUGUUUCAUAUAUUCCCUGUGUCGUCAAACUGAUGGCCGCACAUAAUCAGACGAUAAAAAAAGAAAUUGGAAUCCACAAAAAGGUUUGGAAAUUGCGGAGCUGGAAGAUAAGAACAGAGAGCUGAUCAAGAGUGUCCAGGAACUGCAAAUAUCACGGACCAACAUCAGGAAAGACAUCUUUCAAGACGUUUUCCCCAAAUCAGAUAAGUAUGUCAAGAUGCACCCCGGAUAUGGAGGUGACCUUAAACAUCCCUCGUGAGGAGUGGCUCCCCAUUUAGAUGUGUGACAGACUAGGAGAGGCACGACUUGUGUGUCGCUCGGCUGCAUUUAAACCUGCUGGGCUCUUCUUGGCACAACCCCAGAAUGUCUGUUAUACUGAGUGCCCAUCUUCUCCUACUACAGUGCCCAAUCUUCUUAAACCAAGUUCUGCAUUGUAAUACCAGUCAACUGGGGCCAAUAAACAUUUGUGAACAUUUCUAAUAAAUACCUCCAUGGUUCAAUUUCAAA